UGGGGAAUUUUGCACAAUGGGGGAAACCCUGAUGCAGCGACGCCGCGUGAUUUAGAAGGCCUUCGGGUUGUAAAAAUCUUUUUUACGGGAGGAAAAUGACAGUACCGUAAGAAUAAGGUCCGGCUAAAUACGUGCCAGCAGCCGCGGUAAUACGUAUGGACCGAGCGUUGUCCGGCAUCAUUGGGCGGAAAGGGUACGUAGGCGGCCUAGUAAGUUAGAAGUGAAAUAAUAUAGCUCAACUAUAUAAAGCUUUUAAAACUGCUAGGCUUGAGAGAUGGAAGGGAAAGUGGAAUUCCUAGUGUAGCGGUGAAAUGCGCAGAUAUUAGGAAGAAUACCGGUGGCGAAGGCGACUUUCUGGUCAUCAUCUGACGCUGAGGUACGAAAGCGUGGGUAGCAAACAGG
rnacentral:rRNA from 1 species